CCUACGGGAGGCAGCAGUGAGGAAUAUUGGUCAAUGGACGAGAGUCUGAAGCAGCCAAGUAGCGUGAAGGAUGACUGCCCUAUGGGUUUUAAACUUCUUUUAUAUGGGAAUAAAACAGGGUAUGCAUACCCUCUUGUAUGUACCAUAUGCAUACAGAUCGGCUAACUCCGUGCCAGCAGCCACGGUAAUACGGAGGAUCCGAGCGUUAUCUGGAUUUAUUGGGUUUAAAGGGAGCGUAGGUGGAUUGUUAAGUCAGUUGUGAAAUUUUCCGGCUCAACCGUAAAAUUGCAGUUGAAACUGGCAGUCUUGAGUACAGUAGAGGUGAGCGGAAUUCGUGGUGUAGCGGUGAAAUGCUUAGAUAUCACGAAGAACUCCGAUGGCGAAGGCAGCUCACUGGACUGCAACUGACACUGAUGCUCGAAAGUGUGGGUAUCAAACAGGAUUAGAUACCCGGGUAGUC
rnacentral:rRNA from 1 species